AUUGAACGCUGGCGGCAGGCCUAACACAUGCAAGUCGGGCGAGGGGCGGACGGGUGAGGAAUGUAUGGGAAACUGCCUGAUGGAGGGGGAUAACGACGGGAAACGGUAGCUAAUACCGCAUACCAUCAGAAGGGCCCAUAGGGGAUUAGCUUGUAGGGGGGGUAACGGCGCACCUAGGCGAAGAUCCCUAGCUGGUCUGAGAGGAUGACCAGCCACACUGGGACUGAGACACGGCCCAGACUCCUACGGUAGGCAGCAGUGGGGAAUAUUUCACAAUGGGCGCAAGCCUGAUGCAGCCAUGCCGCGUGUAUGAAGAAGGCCUUCGGGUUGUAAAGUACUUUCAGUCGGGAGGCGUUACCUACAGAAGAAGCACCGGCUAACUCCGUGCCAGCAGCCGCGGUAAUUC
rnacentral:rRNA from 1 species